UACGAAGGGGGCUAGCGUUGUUCGGAAUCACUGGGCGUAAAGGGCGCGUAGGCGGCUUGUCGCGUCUGCCGUGAAAGCCCAUGGCUUAACUGUGGGUCUGCGGUGGAUACGGGCUGGCUUGAGGGCGGUAGGGGCUGGUGGAAUGCCUGGUGUAGUGGUGAAAUGCGUAGAGAUCAGGCGGAACACCCGUGGCGAAGGCGGCCAGCUGGGCCGUCCCUGACGCUGAGGCGCGAAGGCGUGGGGAGCGAACGGG
rnacentral:rRNA from 1 species